UUCGUCUGCACGUUAAUGGUUUCUGUAAUUCCGUUCCUCGUCGAAGUCCUAACAUAAAAAUUUUCGUAGGAUUUUCAAUUAAGCAUCAUGUUAUUUUGAAAAAGUCAGCCAUGUCACUGUCAGCAUGUCAGCUAUGGAAUUGUUUUAUGUGGAAUGCGUUGUAAAAUUUUCUUUUCGUUUUUUCUAGCAGUUUCUCUACUGCAUGAUCAAUCGUAAUUCAUUUGUUAGACACUUAAACAAGUCACGUUUUAAGGAAAUGUUUGAAACCACUUUGGAUUCCCAGACUGUAUCGUGAACUACAUCGUGUGACUACAACAGUUGAAGCAUGAAUUUUUCUUGUGUGCAUCGGAUUUUCAAUCUCUGUUCUGUAAGUGGUGGGUGUUGCAAGAAAUUUGUUUCUCAGGAUCUGUGUCUGGCCAUCAUCUGGCUGCUUCAACAACUCAAUGCAAAAGUGUAACUGUGAACGUGAGUCUUGAGAUUAUUGGGUUCACAAGUGUGAGUGGCAAGUAACACUCUGACUUCUCCCCAGAAAAUGUAUCAACUGCCAGCAACCAUGCAGAUGAUGGAUUUGAAAAGAUUAUAGCUUUUAAAGCUUUUCAGUUUCCUCCAGAUCUCAAUUUUGGUAAUCAAGUUUAAGCUCUCCUUCAUCGGGGUGAUGUGACGAACCAUUUAAAUUCGGCUAGUCAACAUUCCGUUUUUAUGCUUAUCCGUUUGGAGUAGGAAAUCUUUUAUAAUUCAAAUAUAUUUACUGAAUAAUUAUUCAGUAAAGACAGUUUAUCCCGUUUCCCCCUACUCGUGUGCUUGAACCUCUAAGACGCGACUUACUUGAAAGACAAUAUUGCGCAAACGAUGUAGGAAAAGAAGAGGGCAAGAAAAAUAACGCGAUAAUGUCCAAACACUGAAACCUGUUAAGCGAAGAUUGCUGUAUUGAGUAGCGCAUCAAAACGGAGUUUAGUUCGUCUUCUGUUCACUGUCUUAUUAAUAAUUCGUUCCAUACACUGGAUGGUACCGUCCAUCAGAUUGGACCUGCAGAACGCACAGUCGCGGAAGUAAGGUGGUUGCGCUGCCACAUCUUUCUACAGUAAAUGCAACGGCAGCUUGAUCAUCUAUAUGUCAUCCUCCAAUUAGAAUUGAAAGUGAAUCUGGACUUUCGGCCAGUGUAGCAAAGACCGGACGCCAGGUUUUGUUCCAACUCCACAACUUGCCAAAUAUUUGGCAGCCUGUCUUCAAUCCUAGAAGUGGUGGAGUGUCUGUUCGUGAGUGAAUGAAGCAAGUUCGUCAUUUGCUUUUGAGACGGUGGACCACAGGUGGACGGAAAUGUGAUGCUGACGUGUUUUUUGUUUUGUUUUUACAUGUUAAAAUGCUGAAGUAUUUUCACGCAAUUCGACCAAGCUGAAUCGAAAGUGAACAACUCUUAAAGCAACAUGUCGAAGAUCUUUCUUCUGCCUUUUUCUACGUGAUAGCUGCCAUGUCAUAAAGAUGCGUCUUUGAGAGAGUCACUAUAUUGCAAGACAAAAGUGUGAUGAAAAUAGGAAUACUGAAAUGAUUUCCAUGGUCAGUUUGAUGUUUGAGCUGCCUAAUGGUGUUGCUGUUUGGUGUACAGUGGUUUUGCAGUCAUUUUCCAUUUGAGAGAUAUUCUGAAAUGGAGCUUGUGGAGACUUGCAGUUCAACAUCAUACUAUAAUGUGUUAUUUGCCUAUGUCGGUGUUCAUGCAGUAUAUGCACUUAUGCAGUGAUGAACAGUUGGGCUAGUCAAUGUUGCUUGUGGCUGUCUGGCUUAUUUUAUCGGCUGCAUUUUGUCGAUAUGUCUUCUCUUGCUACCUGUACCGUCGUUGAGUUGAUUCGUUUGCCGCCGUUCCUUAGACUUGAUCCACCGGUGAAACUAAGAACUUAAGAAGACGUAGCUGAAAUUCAAGAUUGCUCAAUAAAUUUAUUACAAGUGCAUAAUCUGGGCUCCCUUCUUCAGUGGCCCCGUUUCCCUAAAUAACCACUAACCAACGCCCGCCGG